rnacentral:rRNA from 1 species
GACGGGGGAUGCAAGCGUUAUCCGGAAUGAUUGGGCGUAAAGGGUCCGCAGGUGGCCCGGUCAGUCCGCUGUCAAAGCCUGGGGGCUCAACCCUGGAGAGGCGGCGGAGACCACCGGGCUUGAGUCCGGUAGGGGCAGGGGGAAUUCCCGGUGGAGCGGUGAAAUGCGUAGAGAGUCGGGAGGAACACCAAAGGCGAAGGCAGUGUCCUGGGGAGUACCGUGACGCUCAGGUGCGAAAGCCAGGGGAGCGAACGGG